rnacentral:rRNA from 1 species
UACGAAGGGGGCUAGCGUUGCUCGGAAUCACUGGGCGUAAAGCGCACGUAGGCGGCUUUCUAAGUCAGGGGGUGAAAUCCUGGAGCUCAACUCCAGAACUGCCUUUGAUACUGGGAGCUCGAGUCCGGAAGAGGUGAGUGGAACUGCGAGUGUAGAGGUGAAAUUCGUAGAUAUUCGCAAGAACACCAGUGGCGAAGGCGGCUCACUGGUCCGGUACUGACGCUGAGGUGCGAAAGCGUGGGGAGCAAACAGG